UGGGGGAUAUUGCACAAUGGGCGAAAGCCUGAUGCAGCGACGCCGCGUGGGGGAUGAAUGCCUUCGGGUUGUAAACUUCUUUUGCUCUGAACAAGGCAUGCUAAUGGGUGUGUUGAGUGUAGGGGUUGAUUAGCGCCGGCUAACUACGUGCCAGCAGCCGCGGUAAUACGUAGGGCGCGAGCGUUGUCCGGAAUUAUUGGGCGUAAAGGGCUUGUAGGUGGCUGGUUGCGUCUGUCGUGAAAGCUCAUGGCUUAACUGUGGGUUUGCGGUGGGUACGGGCUGGCUUGAGUGCAGUAGGGGAGGCUGGAAUUCCUGGUGUAGCGGUGGAAUGCGCAGAUAUCAGGAGGAAUACCGGUGGCGAAGGCGGGUCUCUGGGCUGUUACUGACACUGAGGAGCGAAAGCAUGGGGAGCGAACAGG
rnacentral:rRNA from 1 species